rnacentral:rRNA from 1 species
AGCAGCCGCGGUAAUUCCAGCUCCAAUAGCGUAUAUUAAAGUUGUUGCAGUUAAAAAGCUCGUAGUUGAAUUUCGGAAUCAGUAUGUUGGUCGUGCUUCGGUACAUACUGUCAUUACUGGUUUCUACCUUCUGAAGAACCUUGAUGUCAUUAAUUUGGUGUCUUGGGGAAUCAGGACUGUUACUUUGAAAAAAUUAGAGUGUUUAAAGCAAGCAUACGCUUGAAUACAUUAGCAUGGAAUAAUGAAAUAGGACGUUUGAUUCUAUUUUGUUGGUUUCUAGGAUCGACGUAAUGAUUAAUAGGGAUAGUUGGGGGCAUUAGUAUUCAAUUGUCAGAGGUGAAAUUCUUGGAUUUAUUGAAGACUAACUACUGCGAAAGCAUUUGCCAAGGAUGUUUUCAUUAAUCAAGAACGAAAGUUAGGGGAUCAAAGACGAUCAGAUACCGUCGUAGU